UUGUCCUUUUUAGCUCACCUGGCCCGAAGGGCCAAGUGAGCUUUUCUCAUCACUUGGCGUCCGUCGUCCGUCGUCGUCCGGCGUCGUCCGUCGUCGGCGUUAACUUUUUACAUUUUGAACUUCUUCUAGAGAACCACUGAAUGGAAUGAAACCAAACAUGGCAUGAAUGUUCCUUAUGAGGUGCUGACCAAGUGUUGUUACUUUGUAGCCGAUCCAUCAUCCAAGAUGGCCGCCAGCGGGGGACUUAGUUUAACAUAGGACCCUAUGGGAAAUGCAUACAAAUGACUUCUUUUAGAGAACCACUGAAUGGAAUGAAACCAAACAUGGCAUGAAUGUUCCUUAUGAGGUGCUGACCAAGUGUUGUUACUUUGUAGCCGAUCCAUCAUCCAAGAUGGCCGCCAGCGGGGGACUUAGUUUAACAUAGGACCCUAUGGGAAAUACAUAAAAAUGUCUUCUUUUAGAGAACCACUGAAUGGAAUGGAACCAAACAUGGCAUGAAUGUUCCUUAUGAGAUGCUGACCAAGUGUUGUUACUUUGCAGUCGGUCCAUCAUCCAAGAUGGCCGCCAGCGGGGGACUUAGUUUAACAUAGGACCCUAUGGGAAAUACAUACAAAUGUCUUCUUUUAGAGAACCACUGAAUGGAAUGAAACCAAACAUGGCAUGAAUGUUCCUUAUGAGGUGCUCACCAAGUGUUGUUACUUUGUAGCCGAUCCAUCAUCCAAGAUGGCCGCCAGCGGGGGACUUAGCUUAACAUAGGACCCUAUGGGAAAUGCAUACAAAUGACUUCUUUUAGAGAACCACUGAAUGGAAUGAAACCAAACAUGGCAUGAAUGUUCCUUAUGAGGUGCUGACCAAGUGUUGUUACUUUGUAGCCGAUCCAUCAUCCAAGAUGGCCGCCAGCGAGGGACUUAGUUUAACAUAGGACCCUAUGGGAAAUACAUACAAAUGUCUUCUUUUAGAGAACCACUGAAUGGAAUGGAACCAAACAUGGCAUGAAUGUUUCUUAUGAGAUGCUGACCAAGUGUUGUUACUUUGCAGUCGGUCCAUCAUCCAAGAUGGCCGCCAGCGGGGGACUUAGUUUAACAUAGGACCCUAUGGGAAAUACAUACAAAUGUCUUCUUUUAGAGAACCACUGAAUGGAAUGAAACCAAACAUGGCAUGAAUGUUCCUUAUGAGGUGCUCACCAAGUGUUGUUACUUUGUAGCCGAUCCAUCAUCCAAGAUGGCCGCCAGCCGGGGACUUAGUUUAACAUAGGACCCUAUGGGAAAUGCAUACAAAUGACUUCUUUUAGAGAACCACUGAAUGGAAUGAAACCAAACAUGGCAUGAAUGUUCCUUAUGAGGUGCUCACCAAGUGUUGUUACUUUGUAGCCGAUCCAUCAUCCAAGAUGGCCGCCAGCCGGGGACUUAGUUUAACAUAGGACCCUAUGGGAAAUGCAUACAAAUGACUUCUUUUAGAGAACCACUGAAUGGAAUGAAACCAAACAUGGCAUGAAUGUUCCUUAUGAGGUGCUGACCAAGUGUUGUUACUUUGUAGCCGAUCCAUCAUCCAAGAUGGCCGCCAGCGGGGGACUUAGUUUAACAUAGGACCCUAUGGGAAAUACAUACAAAUGUCUUCUUUUAGAGAACCACUGAAUGGAAUGGAACCAAACAUGGCAUGAAUGUUUCUUAUGAGAUGCUGACCAAGUGUUGUUACUUUGCAGUCGGUCCAUCAUCCAAGAUGGCCGCCAGCGGGGGACUUAGUUUAACAUAGGACCCUAUGGGAAAUACAUACAAAUGUCUUCUUUUAGAGAACCACUGAAUGGAAUGAAACCAAACAUGGCAUGAAUGUUCCUUAUGAGGUGCUCACCAAGUGUUGUUACUUUGUAGCCGAUCCAUCAUCCAAGAUGGCCGCCAGCCGGGGACUUAGUUUAACAUAGGACCCUAUGGGAAAUGCAUACAAAUGACUUCUUUUAGAGAACCACUGAAUGGAAUGAAACCAAACAUGGCAUGAAUGUUCCUUAUGAGGUGCUGACCAAGUGUUGUUACUUUGUAGCCGAUCCAUCAUCCAAGAUGGCCGCCAGCGGGGGACUUAGUUUAACAUAGGACCCUAUGGGAAAUGCAUACAAAUGACUUCUUUUAGAGAACCACUGAAUGGAAUGAAACCAAACAUGGCAUGAAUGUUCCUUAUGAGGUGCUGACCAAGUGUUGUUACUUUGUAGCCGAUCCAUCAUCCAAAAUGGCCGCCAGCGGGGGACUUAGUUUAACAUAGGACCCUAUGGGAAAUACAUAAAAAUGUCUUCUUUUAGAGAACAACUGAAUGGAAUGGAACCAAACAUGGCAUGAAUGUUCCUUAUGAGAUGCUGACCAAGUGUUGUUACUUUGCAGGCGGUCCAUCAUCCAAGAUGGCCGCCAGCCGGGGACUUAGUUUAACAUAGGACCCUAUGGGAAAUGCAUACAAAUGACUUCUUUUAGAGAACCACUGAAUGGAAUGGAACCAAACAUGGCAUGAAUGUUCCUUAUGAGAUGCUGACCAAGUGUUGUUACUUUGCAGUCGGUCCAUCAUCCAAGAUGGCCGCCAGCGGGGGACUUAGUUUAACAUAGGACCCUAUGGGAAAUACAUACAAAUGUCUUCUUUUAGAGAACCACUGAAUGGAAUGAAACCAAACAUGGCAUGAAUGUUCCUUAUGAGGUGCUCACCAAGUGUUGUUACUUUGUAGCCGAUCCAUCAUCCAAGAUGGCCGCCAGCCGGGGACUUAGUUUAACAUAGGACCCUAUGGGAAAUGCAUACAAAUGACUUCUUUUAGAGAACCACUGAAUGGAAUGAAACCAAACAUGGCAUGAAUGUUCCUUAUGAGGUGCUGACCAAGUGUUGUUACUUUGUAGCCGAUCCAUCAUCCAAGAUGGCCGCCAGCGGGGGACUUAGUUUAACAUAGGACCCUAUGGGAAAUACAUAAAAAUGUCUUCUUUUAGAGAACCACUGAAUGGAAUGGAACCAAACAUGGCAUGAAUGUUCCUUAUGAGAUGCUGACCAAGUGUUGUUACUUUGCAGUCGGUCCAUCAUCCAAGAUGGCCGCCAGCGGGGGACUUAGUUUAACAUAGGACCCUACGGGAAAUACAUACAAAUGUCUUCUUUUAGAGAACCACUGAAUGGAAUGAAACCAAACAUGGCAUGAAUGUUCCUUAUGAGGUGCUGACCAAGUGUUGUUACUUUGUAGCCGAUCCAUCAUCCAAGAUGGCCGCCAGCAGGGGACUUAGUUUAACAUAGGACCCUAUGGGAAAUGCAUACAAAUGACUUCUUUUAGAGAACCACUGAAUGGAAUUAAACCAAACAUGGCAUGAAUGUUCCUUAUGAGGUGCUGACCAAGUGUUGUUACUUUGUAGCCGAUCCAUCAUCCAAAAUGGCCGCCAGCGGGGGACUUAGUUUAACAUAGGACCCUAUGGGAAAUACAUAAAAAUGUCUUCUUUUAGAGAACCACUGAAUGGAAUGGAACCAAACAUGGCAUGAAUGUUCCUUAUGAGAUGCUGACCAAGUGUUGUUACUUUGCAGGCGGUCCAUCAUCCAAGAUGGCCGCCAGCGGGGGACUUAGUUUAACAUAGGACCCUAUGGGAAAUACAUACAAAUGUCUUCUUUUAGAGAACCACUGAAUGGAAUGAAACCAAACAUGGCAUGAAUGUUCCUUAUGAGGUUCUGACCAAGUGUUGUUACUUUGUAGCCGAUCCAUCAUCCAAGAUGGCCGCCAGCGGGGGACUUAGUUUAACAUAGGACCCUAUGGGAAAUACAUACAAAUGUCUUCUUUUAGAGAACCACUAAAUGGAAUGAAACCAAACAUGGCAUGAAUGUUCCUUAUGAGGUGCUGACCAAGUGUUGUUACUUUGCAGUCGGUCCAUCAUCCAAGAUGGCCGACAGCAGGGGACUUAGUUUAACAAAGGACCUAUGGGAAAUACAUACAAAUGUCUUCUUUUAGAGAACCACUGAAUGGAAUGAAACCAAACAUGGCAUGAAUCUUCCUUAUGAGAUGCUGACCAAGUGUUGUUACUUUGUAGCCGAUCCAUCAUCCAAGAUGGCCGCCAGCGGGGGGCUUAGUUUAACAUAGGACCCUAUGGGAAAUACAUACAAAUGUCUUCUUUUAGAGUACCACUGAAUGGAAUGAAACCAAACAUGGCAUGAAUGUUCCUUAUGAAGUGCUGACCAAGUGUUGCUACUUUGUUGCUGAUUUACUGUUCAAGAUGGCCACCAGGAUAUUUUAUUAAAUAACGGGACCAAUAUUAAUCAAAAUUUGGCCUCAAUCAUUAUUUGGGUAUCUGUUAUGAUUUUUAUCUAUCUUUACAUGAUUUCUAAAACCAAAGUAGAGUCAGGUGAGCGACACAGGCUCUCGAGAGCCUCUAGUUUU